rnacentral:rRNA from 1 species
CCUACGGGUGGCUGCAGUCGAGAAUCAUUCACAAUGGGGGAAACCCUGAUGGUGCGACGCCGCGUGGGGGAAUGAAGGUCUUCGGAUUGUAAACCCCUGUCAUGUGGGAGCAAAUUAAAAAGAUAGUACCACAAGAGGAAGAGACGGCUAACUCUGUGCCAGCAGCAGCGGUAAUACAGAGGUCUCAAGCGUUGUUCGGAAUCACUGGGCGUAAGGCGUGCGUAGGCUGUUUCGUAAGUCAUGUGUGAAAGGCGCGGGCUCAACCCGCGGACGGCACAUGAUACUGCGGGACUAGAGUAAUGGAGGGGGAACCGGAAUUCUCGGUGUAGCAGUGAAAUGCGUAGAUAUCGAGAGGAACACUCGUGGCGAAGGCGGGUUCCUGGACAUUAACUGACGCUGAGGCACGAAGGCCAGGGGAGCGAAAGGGAUUAGAUACCCUUGUAGUC